UGAGGAUAUAGCUCAGUUGGUAGAGUGCUUGCUUUACAUGCACAAGGCCCUGGGUUCAAUUCCCAGCACCACAA
rnacentral:tRNA from 1 species